CGGCACCGACACCAAAUCUGCUCCCCCCCCCCGGGGGGGAAAACCACCUCAAACAACCAAAACCAAUUUCGGGGAUCCCAGUAGCUCUGCCAAAUUGGUCGGGCCACCACCACUCGACCCCGCUUCCUGAUCAGCCAACCCCUUUUUUGGAGGUGGUUCAUCGAAGUGACGGGGCAUUGCUUUGUGUGGACCAUGGGAGGCAUUUACUAGCCAUUCUCGAAAAAUGGAUUUUCAAGCAGUCAUGUAGUUUCACACACCAUACAACUUUCCAAUUAAUGUUCGAAGCGGAGCUGAAUAGAUGCUUCUGAUCAAGUUCAUGGAAGGAUUUUAUCGAGUGAACAAUAAAGGUAGUUGGGGUCCAAAUGACCGAGUCCUUGCAAUCUACUUGAGGAAAAGAUGAAUUUGCAAGAUAUUCAAGACAGAGGGAUGGUCAAAGAAAUUCAUCAAGAGGACGCAGGAGGCUUGCAAUGCUGAUUUGCCUGUUGAGAGUUGGUCUGUGGACAACGAGCCCGAGGUUGAAUUGCGGGAGCCGAGUUUCAGUCUGUUGAUCUGCUGAGUGCCAAUGCUGCCCAGACCACUGGUCACGUCUAACUAUAUAAUGCGAUCAAAAAGACAUUUUAAAAUAAGAGGGGUUGCAAACGCCCGCGCAACGCACGGAUGAAGAGGGUAGUUUUCUAGUAAUAAACAAAGAUUGUGAAGGAAAACAGAGGAGCUGAGAGGGCAAUCAUGGCGAUGAUGCUGCUGCUGCCGCUGCUGAAGCUUCGAUUGCCAGGAGGCAAGUGUUGCCUCGUCGGCGUGCACAUGUAGACGCAAACUGCUCUCUGUCUCUGUCUCUGUCUGUCGUCCCUGUCCUUGCUCCUAUUUGUUACCUUCUUCGGCAGCACCACCGCUGCUUUGUGUCAGCCCCUCCACACUUGCUCGACUCCAACGGUCUCCGUCAGUCACCCGGCCACCGUGAGCCCUUCGGCGAUGAUGGUAGGCACCAAGUUUGACUUUUUAUGGCUUCAUAUAAAAGCUUCAAGCACUAUCAUAUGAUUGCCAGCGACAUAGACAUUCUCAUGUAGAAUUUGAGGUGCUGCUCUGCGGCCUUGGUGAUUGGUUGACUUGACUCUUCAUCCCAAGAAAGGGAGGACAAGCCAUUUUUAUUGGGAGGAUGCUACUGAAGAUGGAUAUCUGGGCUUUUCCCAUCUUUUGUUCAGCCGAUGAAGCCCCAUGAGAUUGCAUUCCUUUCAUUUCUCUGGAAAUUCUUAAGAGGGAGGUAGAUAUCCUCCAUAUGUGUGACCCCCACUUGUUUAAAACAGGCGAGAACUUGUAACUUAAUCUGGAAAAUGUAGUGUCUGGAAGUUUGGAUUCAUAGUCGCGCCUCUUCUUUUUCCAGGACAGCAGGAGUGAUUGAUGUCCGGAGAAGAUUGGUGAUGUUUUGCAGCUUAAAUUGUGCAUUCAAAUUAUUUGAUGCAGACUUCUCCCCUGACUGUAAGGUCCAGGAGAUUGCAGAGGGUGCAUUGGACUACAAUAUCCCAAUAAUCAGAGUGAACGGAAAAUCUGUUGCCUCUGCUGAUGGAGGUCUGCAGAAUCCAUCUCCAUUAUUUUUCCAUGCCAAGUGGGGCAAUUCCAGUGAACAAGUGAACAUCAAAAGCAGAAGAUUUGAUUACCUUUCACAGUAUGGCGUACAAAGACCAAAGGAUGAUGAAGAUAUUGCAUUUUUAAGCGUAUGUGGCUCAUUAUCCAGAUUAUCCUGAAAUGAGAUGCAGUAGUAUUUCAUUCCCAUUUCUUUCCGUUGUGUCAUCCUUCUAUACAAGGUCGCCUACUUCGACCAGGUUUUUGAACUAGGGGAGUUUAUAAGAACAGGGCAAAUUACAUCUGAGGAGCUUACUAGGAUCUUUCUGCGGAGAUUAUAGAGGUUUUCAUUUUUAAAAUGUGACAGAGCAGCAAGUUUAUUGAAAGAUCUUUAAUGUGUUGUUGCUAAUAAUGCCUCCAAGUAUGGUGAUGUGCUUCGUUCUUCGUCUCUUACCCUGAAGUAUUAGCAUUCCUGCAAGCAAAAGAAGCUUCUGGGUUGCUUGCUGAGGUGGUAUCCCUGGGUCCUCUCCCCACGGGAUUCCUUAUGGAUAGAAGGACGUAAUUGCGGUACCGCAUUACAGGACUUGGGGUUCAACAACUUUCAGAUACCAGGUCCUUGACAUUGAAGCCUGUGUUUAAAAAAGGUUGAGAUCCACGGAUGCGGUUCUUGUUGUGAAGCACGCCACUGGCUCACUGACAUAUGAUAUGAUAUAUCAUUUGGUGGUAGAGCAAGGAACCCAUGGAACAUUCGAGGAAUUUUCCACUGGCUCAUCAGCUGGGCCCGCUGCCUGAGAUAAAAGCUGCAAUCCUAUAGAUAAAAGCUGAGAGAACACCUAUAAACCGUGACUGAGAUAAUUAAACCAUGAAACUUCUGAUAUGUCCCCUACAAGGUAAAAUUUCUUGGGUGAUAAAAAACUUUUAAAUUGUAAUGCGAAUGGUAUAAUUUUUUCUUUGUGUAAUAAUUUGGUACAAAAAAGUAUCAAAAUAUUUCAAUCAAGUCUAAUCCGUCAA